CAGUCGCCACGGGAAUACGGAGGGUGCAAGCGUUAUCCGGAUUCACUGGGUUUAAAGGGUGCGUAGGCGGAUCUGUAAGUCCGUGGUGAAAUCUCCAGGCUUAACCUGGAAACUGCCAUGGAUACUAUAGAUCUUGAAUGUUGUGGAGGUUAGCGGAAUAUGUCAUGUAGCGGUGAAAUGCAUAGAUAUGACAUAGAACACCAAUUGCGAAGGCAGCUGGCUACACAAAUAUUGACGCUGAGGCACGAAAGCGUGGGGAUCAAACAGGAUUAGAUACCCCUGUAGUCCCUGUCUCUUAUAC
rnacentral:rRNA from 1 species